AGAGUUUGAUCAUGGCUCAGAAUCAACGCUAGCGGCGUGCCUAACACAUGCAAGUCGAACGCGAAAGGGGCUUCGGCCCUGAGUAGAGUGGCGAACGGGUGAGUAACACGUGGGUGAUCUACCUCUGAGUGGGGGAUAACGUUCCGAAAGGAACGCUAAUACCGCAUGACGUUCCGGGUUUGAAGACCGGGAAACCAAAGUCGGGGACCGCAAGGCCUGACGCUUGGAGAGGAGCCCGCGCCUGAUUAGCUAGUUGGUGAGGUAACGGCUCACCAAGGCAACGAUCAGUAGCCGGCCUGAGAGGGCGGACGGCCACACUGGGACUGAGACACGGCCCAGACUCCUACGGGAGGCAGCAGUGGGGAAUUGUUCGCAAUGGGCGCAAGCCUGACGACGCAACGCCGCGUGGAGGAUGAAGGUCUUCGGAUUGUAAACUCCUGUUGAUCGGGAAGAAUGGACUCCGGGUUAAUACUCCGGGGUAAUGACGGUACCGAUUGAGGAAGCCACGGCUAACUCUGUGCCAGCAGCCGCGGUAAUACAGAGGUGGCAAGCGUUGUUCGGAAUUACUGGGCGUAAAGGGCGCGUAGGCGGCCUUCUAAGUCAGACGUGAAAUCCCCAGGCUUAACUUGGGAACUGCGUCUGAUACUGGGAGGCUUGAGUGCGGGAGAGGGAUGUGGAAUUCCAGGUGUAGCGGUGAAAUGCGUAGAUAUCUGGAAGAACACCCGUGGCGAAGGCGGCUCUCUGGGACGGUACUGACGCUGAGACGCGAAAGCGUGGGGAGCGAACAGGAUUAGAUACCCUGGUAGUCCACGCCGUAAACGAUGGGUGCUAGGUGUGGGAGGUGUCGACUCCUUCCGUGCCGAAGCUAACGCAUUAAGCAC
rnacentral:rRNA from 1 species